rnacentral:rRNA from 1 species
UACGUAGGUGGCAAGCGUUGUCCGGAAUUAUUGGGCGUAAAGCGCGCGCAGGUGGUUUCUUAAGUCUGAUGUGAAAGCCCACGGCUCAACCGUGGAGGGUCAUUGGAAACUGGGGAACUUGAGUGCAGGAGAGAAGAGUGGAAUUCCACGUGUAGCGGUGAAAUGCGUAGAGAUGUGGAGGAACACCAGUGGCGAAGGCGACUCUUUGGCCUGUAACUGACACUGAGGCGCGAAAGCGUGGGGAGCAAAAGGG